AACCNUUCAGGGGUAAACCUAAGAAACCCAAAAGAUCGAACGGGGAGAUUCAUCGUCAGCGGCNUUGGCUUCGCGUCGGUNGGCGAUGUCCCGCGAGCUCGCUCGCGGNCACGCUACCGUGCGCGNACGUCCGACGUCGUCGUNGUGCACUUCUCCCUUAGUAGGACGUCNCGACUCGCUGGGUGUCGGUCUACGGCCCGAGNGCGGUGUCUGUCGCGUCGCCGGUAAAACGGCACGCGGNAAACNNUCGGUCGCCNGGCCGGCUGCCCGGCGGUAUUCGCAAGGUAUCAGGCCNNNAAGUUUAGUCUUCGCGUCAAGCCCGUCGCAAGCGCNCGCCACGGCACCCGGAGGUACGGACCNNGCGCCNUCCCCGGUCCUNGUCCGCUAUUGGCAGAACNGUGANUCUUUGACAGGCCUUAACCGGGGGCGGGCGGUGCCUCGCGCGCCGCUCCCCUCGAUACCNUCGGCGAC
rnacentral:rRNA from 1 species